rnacentral:ncRNA from 1 species
GUGAUANCUUUCAAUUCAGAGAAACCCUGGAAUUAAAAAUGGGCAAUCCUGAGCCAAAUCCCAUUUUCCAAGAACAAACAAGGGUUCAGAAAGCGAAAAAAGGGAUAGGUGCAGAGACUCAAUGGAAGCUGUUCUAACAAAUGGAGUUGACUGCCUUUUUUUUUUGGUAAAGAAAGAAAGUAAAAUGAAUCCUUCUAUCCAAUAUCGAAACUACAUAAAGGAUGAAGGAUAAGUGUAUAUACCUAUGUAUACGCAAUUCAAAACUAUCUCAAAAAUGACAACCGAAUCUGUAUUUCUUUUUAUGAAAAAGAAAAGAAUUCUUAUGAAUCGAUUCCAAUCCAAGUUGAAGAAAGAAUCAAAUAUUCAUUGAUCAAAUCAUUCACUCCAUAGUCUGAUCGAUCUUUUAUUUUGACUUUUGAAGAACUGAUUAAUCGGACGAGAAUAAAGAUAGAGUCCCAUUCUACAUGUCAAUAUCAAUACGGGCAACAAUGAAAUUUAUAGUAAGAGGAAAAUCCGUCGACUUUAGAAAUCGUGAGGGUUCAAGUCCCUCUA